GAGACGGAAUCCCAGAGAGGUUUAGGAUUUGUUCUCUUCAUACUUAGGCCCUUCUUCUUCUAGGAGACAGCUUUUCUUAUGCCGUCAUGCAGGUUCGCAAAAAUUACAGCCUGACUCAUAUAACCAGGACAGGAUGUCUGGCACCUGCUCACCCAGGGAUCCUUACAUAGCAGAACCUAGAGGCUUAACUCCCAACCUGUUAUUAAGAUGGCUCGGCCAGGUUGGAACCAGAUGCCCUUCAGUCUCCCAUUCCUCUGUCCCCACUGUGAAUGACCUGGCUACCACACUGCUGCUCACCAGCUGAGUUAAUUUCACUCUCACUUAUCAGUCUGCGAAGUGGAUCUCUUAACCUCCCAGAGGGGCUGUGGUCCUU
rnacentral:lncRNA from 1 species